ACUCCUGCGGGAGGCAGCAGUGGGGAAUUUUGGACAAUGGGGGCAACCCUGAUCCAGCAAUGCCGCGUGAGUGAAGAAGGCCUUCGGGUUGUAAAGCUCUUUUGUCAGGGAAGAAACGGUGGUGGCGAAUAACUACUACUAAUGACGGUACCUGAAGAAUAAGCACCGGCUAACUACGUGCCAGCAGCCGCGGUAAUACGUAGGGUGCAAGCGUUAAUCGGAAUUACUGGGCGUAAAGCGUGCGCAGGCGGUUGUGUAAGUCAGAUGUGAAAUCCCCGGGCUCAACCUGGGAAUUGCAUUUGAGACUGCACGGCUAGAGUGUGUCAGAGGGGGGUAGAAUUCCACGUGUAGCAGUGAAAUGCGUAGAUAUGUGGAGGAAUACCGAUGGCGAAGGCAGCCCCCUGGGAUAACACUGACGCUCAUGCACGAAAGCGUGGGGAGCAAACAGGAUUAGAUACCCCUGUAGUCCCAUGAU
rnacentral:rRNA from 1 species